UUCCAAAGUCAACUUUGUCUAGAAGAAGGGCAACAAUGUUUCAAUGGGUUCUGAAGUUAGAUGGAUCAACAAUUUCCCCAGAAAACUAAGCCCCCAUUGGGGACUCCAGGUGGAUGAAUGAGUGAAGGAAUGUCAGAUUGGAUUACAGGGCCUUUCCAACAUUAUCAAGAUCAGGUGCUCAGUUACAACACAGAGGUUCAUGGCGAGGCAUCUGGUAUGAAAGAGAUUAACAAGAGAAAAGCAUACAGACGUGCUAUAUGUUUAUGAGACACACUCCCUCUGUUUCAUGAAGAGUGGACAGUCAUGGAGAUGUGUGUCUGGAGGACAAAAGAGGACAAUCUGAUGUGUAACCAGAGCCCCAAUCCUGAAGUUCAGCUGCAAGGAUGAGAAGAGGUCCCAGGCUUCACCCACCAAUGAGAACAAACACUGCUCUGUACCCCAGAAAGCUGAGCGCUACUGAGGGCCUCAGCCAGGUUCCCUAACCCUCAGACUUCCUGUUGAGUUCCACCAAUCAGAAGCACCAGCAGAAGAGGAGAAGGAGGAAGGCACUACUCCCAUCCACUGUGGCUGAAGCUGCCUGCUUCCCUCUGUGGCCACACCACAGGUCAUAUUGGUGGCACCUGUGCUGGGCUGUGACACUCAAUCCAGUUCCAAUAAUGUCUCCUCCUUACUUCUCACACCUAAGGGUAACAAUGGCUCUCUGCUGCUA